UGGGGAAUAUUGCACAAUGGGGGAAACCCUGAUGCAGCGACGCCGCGUGAGCGAAGAAGGCUUUCGAGUCGUAAAGCUCUGUCCUAUGAGAAGAUAAUGACGGUAUCAUAGGAGGAAGCCCUGGCUAAAUACGUGCCAGCAGCCGCGGUAAUACGUAUGGGGCGAGCGUUGUCCGGAAUUAUUGGGCGUAAAGGGUACGUAGGUGGUUUUUUAAGUCAGGUGUCAAAGCGUGGAGCUUAACUCCAUUAAGCACUUGAAACUGAAAGACUUGAGUGAAGGAGAGGAAAGUGGAAUUCCUAGUGUAACGGUGAAAUGCGUAGAUAUUAGGAGGAAUACCGGUGGCGAAGGCGACUUGCUGGACUUUUACUGACGCUCAGGUACGAAAGCGUGGGGAGCAAACAGG
rnacentral:rRNA from 1 species